CUGCACUGGUAUGGCCAUGUAAUGCAUAUGAAUGAAGACAGUUGCAUAAAGAGGUGCUAAUCUCUAAUUGUAGAGGGGAGAUGUGGAAGGGGUAAACUCAGGAAGAUAUGGGAUGAAGUGAUGAGGAAGGAUUUACAGAUGUUGGGACUCACAGAAGGGAUGACAAGGGACCGAUACUCCUGAUGGUUUGCUGUGCUUGAAAACACACAUCACACUAAAAGUAUGGUUGUUGUU